rnacentral:lncRNA from 1 species
UGGGGCUCAGGAAAGAUGCGUAGGAGGACCUGUCGGGCAACCGUCUGCUUGUACUUUAGAGAAUGGAAGAAGAGGUCGUUGGGAAAAAGAAAAGGGGGGGAGGGGUUGGGAAAGGAACGUUUAAGAAAAUCCCAGUGCUCCGAAAAGAGGGAAGACAGGCUUGAGGCGCGGCUCUUUAGGGACCCCCUACCCCCCGCCUAGGUCUUUGUCUUUUCUAAAAAUCCACUACUUUGUGAAGAGGGUUCAGGGGAAGGUACUGGAUCUUUUAAAUUUUUAUUUGAAAAAUAUCGAAGACUUUAGGGGAAAAUAAAAUACCUUCAUCUCCUGCUUCCCGAGGUCUGGAUUUUAAGGGUUGUUCACAUAUGACGCUGUCUGCCUAAGCACCCCUGUGCCGCUGGAUAAUUCCUACCCCUUCAAGUCACAGCCUAAUGUCACUGCCAAAGAGACACCAUCGCUAAUCAGGUCAUCUAAAGGACCUACUCCUUCAUUGGCACAAAGAACUCUCAACUGCGUGGCGAUAUCACUGCUACUCUUUCACACCCCCUGUGGCUGAGCACCAACAAUAAUUCUUAUUCUGAAGGCAAUAUGUCAGGUUGCCAGAGAAGAGAAGAGAGAGCUUGGAGGUGGCACACUGGCUCCUACAUGCCUGAAUGUAGAAAUGGUAUGAAGUUCAAAGCUGGAAGACACAAGGACACAAAGGAAUGGAAAGCCCAGCCCCUUGCCUUGAAGAACUCCCCAUCCAGUUGAGAUAUCAGACUCUUACACAUGAAAAUUUCACUCGCAAUAUGAAGAGAAUGUGACAAGUGCCACUGCUAAAUGAAUGGUUUUGACAACAGGAGCAUAAGUGUUCAGAGAAGGAGAGGAAGAUUUUUCUUUAAAGCUAAAAGGAAAUUCAAUAGAUAAACCAAUGCUCCCCUGUGGUCUUCUGUUGAUUUAUCAGAUUAGCUAUUCAGAAUAGUUGCAUAUUCCCCAAUAGGUACAUACUCUCUCCACUGCCCCACCCCAUCAUAUGCAAAGCAGAUAGAGGAGAAUGAUUUUCUAAAUCCUUGAGCAGCCUGG